AUGAGCGCUGGCGGCGUGCCUAAUACCUGUACGUCGAGCGAACAGACGAGGAGCUUGCUCCUCUGACGUUAGCGGCGGACGGGUGAGUAACACGUGGAUAACCUACCUAUAAGACUGGGAUAACUUCGGGAAACCGGAGCUAAUACCGGAUAAUAUAUUGAACCGCAUGGUUCAAUAGUGAAAGACGGUUUUGCUGUCACUUAUAGAUGGAUCCGCGCCGCAUUAGCUAGUUGGUAAGGUAACGGCUUACCAAGGCAACGAUGCGUAGCCGACCUGAGAGGGUGAUCGGCCACACUGGAACUGAGACACGGUCCAGACUCCUACGGGAGGCAGCAGUAGGGAAUCUUCCGCAAUGGGCGAAAGCUUGACGGAGCAACGCCGCGUGAGUGAUGAAGGUCUUCGGAUCGUAAAACUCUGUUAUUAGGGAAGAACAAAUGUGUAAGUAACUAUGCACGUCUUGACGGUACCUAAUCAGAAAGCCACGGCUAACUACGUG
rnacentral:rRNA from 1 species